GCUCUUGUGGCGCAAUUGGCUAGCGCGUUCGGCUGUUACGGGCUUAUGUAAUCAUUAGAUAAGCAUCUGCAACCGGAAGGUUGGUGGUUCAAGCCCACCCAGGAGCG